rnacentral:rRNA from 1 species
GACGAACGCUGGCGGCGCGCCUAAUACAUGCAAGUCGAACGAAGCUGUUUUAACUGGUGCUUGCACCGACUUAAACAACUGAGUGGCGAACGGGUGAGUAACACGUGGGUAACCUGCCCCAAAGCGGGGGAUAACAUUUGGAAACGGAUGCUAAUACCGCAUAAUCACAGAAACCACAUGGUUUCUGUGUCAAAGAUGGUUUCGGCUAUCACUUUGGGAUGGACCCGCGGCGUAUUAGCUAGUUGGUAAGGUAAUGGCUUACCAAGGCAAUGAUACGUAGCCGAACUGAGAGGUUGAUCGGCCACAUUGGGACUGAGACACGGCCCAAACUCCUACGGGAGGCAGCAGUAGGGAAUCUUCCACAAUGGACGAAAGUCUGAUGGAGCAACGCCGCGUGAGUGAAGAAGGUUUUCGGAUCGUAAAACUCUGUUGUCAGAGAAGAACGUGUGCGAGAGUAACUGUUCGUGCAGUGACGGUAUCUGGCCAGAAAGCCACGGCUAACUACGUGCCAGCCGCCGCUGUAA